AACUCACUAUGUAGCCCAGACUGGCCUUGAAUUUGAAAUCAUUUUGCCUCAGCUUUCUGGGUGCUGGGAGUAGAAGUGUACACCACCAAGAAAAGGGGAAAAAACACAGAGAGUAAUGCUGAGAUGAAAGGAAGAUGAAUGGAAGACAAGUUGUAAAAAAGAAAAAUACUCUCAAGUUAAACUUCAUAGUUGCAAUUACACAAAGGUAAUGAAAAGUAACAGGAGCAAAGAGCAGUGUCCAUUUCAACAUGAGAAAGUCUUGGGAGUGUAAGAAUGCUGCUUAAUUUUAGAAAAAAAUCUGACUUUUAUUCUUCAACAGAACAACAUGUUUUCCUCACAACAAAAGAAAUCAAAACACAACAGAGAAAUCAAAACAUAAGAGCAGAGCCACUUAAUAUACUCUAGUACCUGUAAUGUUUGCUUUUAACUUCUCCAGUUUGUUGGGUGGCCAGUGAGCCUUACUUUGGAGCUGGAUCUUAUUCUAUAUUAAUGGUUUGUCAGCUCCUGGUUGUUAUACAGAUACAAAGCAUAGAAAGAGCAUUAAUUCUUAAAAUCUUGGUAAGUGUUCUUAGAUGUUAGUAUAAACUGUAUUAUUUUUGGCAUUUAAUAUUCUUUUUCUUUCUCUUCCCU